CGUGUAGGCGGUUUGAUAAGUCAGAUGUUAAAGCCCCCGGCUUAACCGGGGAUCGUCAUUUGAAACUGUCAGGUUUGAGUGCGAGAGAGGGUAGUGGAAUUCCCAGUGUAGCGGUGAAAUGCGUAGAUAUUGGGAAGAACACCAGUAGCGAAGGCGGCUACCUGGCUCGCAACUGACGCUAAGGCGCGAAAGCGUGGGGAGCAAACA
rnacentral:rRNA from 1 species